rnacentral:tRNA from 1 species
AUUUAUUUAAUAUAAAAAGUAUAUUAAGCUUCCAACUUAAAAGUUCAUUCAGAAAUAAAUA